CACUGCAUCGUCAGUGUGCAAGCAUUGAUCAUUCGUCUUGCUGCGGACAGUCCAGGGAGGUGGGGAAAUACCUGUACUCUCAGGAAACCAAAUCAAGCCUUGGCACGAGGUCACCAUGGAAGGAUUAUAGCCGAUCAUAUCGAAACCCACCUAGGGUUCUCAGGACCAAGAGAUACUAAACCAAUAAACAACGAUGGCAGAACACACUCCAAGCCACCUUUUGCUUCUAGAAGACAGAUGCAAACUACACUUGUUGCAAGGCUACUGAGCGGGCCUAUGAUGAAUCCAGCAGCAGUGUCUUCAAUCACAGAAAGUGCUUUUAGAAAACAUUAUGGUAAUGCUUAGCACUAAAUGCUGUUUGUCCCUGAAAAAAGGAAAAAUCACUGUGAAGAAAACAAGAAAGUAGCACAGAGACAAGAGUGUUCGCUGCAGGAAAAGCGCUUCUUCACUCCAUCUGCAAAUGUUUUUCCUACGCAAAAUCAAGAUGGCUUCAAGCAAUAAAAUUCACAUGAUGAACAGUCCCCAGGCUUGAACACAGAAAAGAUAUGGACAAAGGAAAUAAGUCUGUUCAAAGCUAUGGAAAUAGCUCAGAGCCUUUUAACUUGGAAAAGAGAUGACUGAGGGAAAAUAUGACUAAGGUUUAUGAAAUGAUAAUGGUUUGGAAAAGGACAACAGAUCUUCACUGCUUCUCAUAAUGAAAGAAUGAAACAGCACCAAAACAAAAUAGCUGGCAGCAAAUAUAAAUAAAACAAAAAGAAGUGCUUUUUCGCACAGCAGGUAGUUAAACCAUGGAACUCUUUGCCACAGGUGUUGAGGAGACUAAAGCAUGAAUGGGUUAAAACACCUGCUAGAUGUAUUCAUUAAUGCAGAAGUUGAUCAAGGGUUAUUUAACAUACGCUCCAAAUAAGUCUUUGAGGUGAAGAAAACCUCCUGGUCCAAAAACCUCCAGCUGUUGUUGAUGUUUCAACAGCUGAGGCAUCAAGAAAUAGAAGAAAUAUUGUUUUAUAGUUCUCCUUUUUCUUACUUUCUUCUUCUAUUGGCCAGUAUCAGAGACACGAUGCCGAGUUAGAGGAGUCUUUGUUCUGACUCGGUAUGGGCAUCCUCCUGCAAUUAAGGAGAAAAGGCUAUACAGAAACUGUUGACCAAAAGCACCUUUAUACAUUGAAUGAAGAGAAGUAAACGCAAGGUCCAGCUCAGGUACUUCCAAUAUGCAGUCAAUACAGCCUCCAAAGAGAUUACACAGACGGCAAUGGUAUUUGGAAGUGCAGAAAGUGCAUUGCCAGUGCAGAACCAUCCAAGGAAAAUUCUAGCCAAGGAAGAGUCUUGUUCAGAUCUUGUGUUGCCCAGAUAUUUGGAUGCAGGGUUAACAUAAGCGCCUGUGUGAGCCAUCCUGCUCAGGGCAAUUUUGUGAACCAGCUUCCAUGAUCAAAUACUCUGCUGCAUGAGGGAGGAGCUGAUGAUGAUUUCAAAUGAGCUAUAAAUAAACUGAAGGACAUUAAAUAAACAAACCACAUAAUGGAUGUGAUUGAGAUUAGCUAUUAUGAGGAACAAUAACAACUUCUCGUGGAGGAAAAAUGGAGCGCGCACAAUGAUGAUUUUGCUAACAGCCCAGGCUUUGUGUCAGGUGUAGAAAGCAGACAGCAACAGAAGGAAAUAUGAGCUACGUGUAUUUAUUGCAGCAAGCCAAAACCACUGUAAGAGGCAGGCCAAAAGCUGUUUACAUAACUACAGGGGGAAGAAAAAGGAAGGAAGAAAUGAUCCAAACAGGAUGCUGCAUUUCAGGACAUAAGGUGGGAAGUGUUAGUCACAGCAUCAGGCAUGCACGUGUUCAGUCCAACGAGAGGAACUGUCUCUGUGAAGGCACUGGCUCUACUUUCAAAGCUAUCUGGUACAGUGUGUUUUGAAAAGUUGCAGUGAAAGAUCGUGAAAUGAUACUUUGAAUGGCGGGGCACAUCAUGUCAGAUGGAAAAUUAAUCCUCCCCUUUGCUACUGAAUCACGAUGAACAAUCUCUCUAAAGUACUGCGAAGUCUGGAAAUUUCACCAACUACCCUCUUAUAAAAACAACAUUCAGUUCACUUCCAUUCACCCAAAGAGUUAAAAAGCCACAACUUUUUCUGGAAGGAAUGCUACCAGAAGCUUGGAAAUUGAUGAGGUUUCUAAGUGCCCAAUAACAAAAAAGAUUCUAAGAAAAUGCAAAAGUAGGUGACAUGUAAAUUCAGGUAAUCAGCAUAACAGAUUAAUGUUUUUAAGCCAUCUAUUUCAAAGUUCCUAUGUCCCAAAGUUCAGUAUCAAAUCAAGAUUUGAAGGCAACAGCUACAAAAUUAUUAAAAAUCUAGCAAUUCUUACCAGUCCUAUCAGUAACAGAAAUUUCAGCUCAGGGUGUAUUUAUAGACCAGCAUUCUGAAUCCAGCUAUGACUAACUGAUUUUUCAGCUUUACUUUGCGGAUUUGGUAGAACUGGCAAUAAUGUGCAUACAGGCAAAGUUUCACCACUGUAUGUCAGAUUAAAAAUAUGACUUUGACCAGGACAUCAGAACUCCAAAGGAAAUGUUUUCUACAUCAUACAGGGGCAAACCUGAUGUAUUUGACUUCCAGUUGUAGCAGAAGAAUUCCCUGAGAAUGCAAAAAGAAAGCUCAGCAUCUCUUUAGCUUCAGAAGUCAUGCUUAGAAAAAGUAGUGCUUUAGUGAGUUCAUUUGUGUCAUGACUAAUUUCC